rnacentral:rRNA from 1 species
ACAAUGAAGAGUUUGAUCCUGGCUCAGGAUGAACGCUAGCUACAGGCUUAACACAUGCAAGUCGAGGGGCAUCAGGAAGAAAGCUUGCUUUCUUUGCUGGCGACCGGCGCA